rnacentral:rRNA from 1 species
UAUGAACGCUAGCGGCAGGCUUAAUACAUGCAAGUCGAGGGGCAGCAGCUUUAUAGCAAUAUAGAGGCUGGCGACCGGCAAACGGGUGCGGAACACGUACACAACCUUCCUUUAAGAGGGGGAUAGCCCAUAGAAAUGUGGAUUAAUACCCCGUAACAUAUCGGUGUGGCAUCACACUGUUAUUAUAGUUUCGACGCUUGAAGAUGGGUGUGCGGCUGAUUAGGUAGUUGGCGGGGUAAAGGCCCACCAAGCCUUCGCUCAGUAGCUGAUGUGAGGACCAGCGCCGCCACACGCGUACUUAGACGCGGGACCGAAGCCUAAGUGAGACACCAGUAAGGAAUAUUUGUCAAUGUGCGCAAGUCUGAACCAGACAUGCCUAGUGAAGGAUGACGUUCCCCUGGAUUGUAAACUUCUUUUAGAGGGGGCGAAAAAAGGGAAGUCUUUCUCACUUGACAGUACCCUAUGAAUAAGCACCGGCUAACUCCGUGCCAGCCGCCGCCGUAA